rnacentral:rRNA from 1 species
CCUACGGGUGGCAGCAGUGAGGAAUAUUGGUCAAUGGGCGGGAGCCUGAACCAGCCAAGCCGCGUGAGGGAAGAAGGUACAGCGUAUUGUAAACCUCUUUUGUCAGGGAACAAUGGCGUGGACUAGUCCCCGGAUGAGGGUACCUGAAGAAAAAGCAUCGGCUAACCCCGUGCCCGCAGCCGCGGUAAUACGGAGGAUGCGAGCGUUAGCCGGGUUUAUUGGGGUUAAAGGGUGCGCAGGCGGCCUGUUAAGUUAGCGGUAAAAGCUCGGGGCUCAACCCCGGCGGGCCGUUGAAAAUGGUGGGCUGGAGUUGGCGAGAAGUACGCGGAAUGCGCGGUGUAGCGGUGAAAUGCUUAGAUAUCGCGCAGAACCCCGAUUGCGAAGGCAGCGUACCGGCUCCACACUGACGCUGAGGCACGAAAGCGUGGGUAUCGAACAGGAUUAGAUACCCGGGUAGUC